CCUACGGGUGGCAGCAGUGGGGAAUAUUGGUCAAUGGAGGAAACUCUGAACCAGCAACGCCGCGUGAAUGAUGAAGGUCUUCGGAUUGUAAAGUUCUUUUCUAAGGGAAGAAGAUAGUGACGGUACCUUAGGAAUAAGCCUCGGCUAACUACGGGCCAGCAGCCGCGGUAAUACGUAGGAGGCACGCGUUAUCCGGAAUGACUGGGCGUAAAGGGUGCGUAGGUGGUUUGGCAAGUUAGUAGCGGAACCUCGGGGCUCAACCUCGGAACUACUACUAAUACUGUCGGACGUGAGUGCAGGAGGGGCAAUUGGAAUUCCUAGUGUAGCGGUGGAAUGCGUAGAUAUUGGGAGGAACACCAGUGGCGAAGGCGACUUUCUGGACAGUAACUGACGUUGAGGCACGAAAGUGUGGGGAGCAAACAGGAUUAGAUACCCCAGUAGUC
rnacentral:rRNA from 1 species